rnacentral:lncRNA from 7 species
GCUCGGUGCCCGGCGUGCUGGGGCGCUGAGGUACUUCCCGCCCUCACUGCGCCGCAGCAGCUGAUAGUCUGUCCCUGCGCACCUCUUCUCCACCGGGAGAGCCCCCGGGAAAGCCAUUUCUCUUCCCAAAGGGAAACUUAGGCCAGUUUCCCAGAGGGUCUGAUGGCACGAAAAGGCUGAGGAGCCUCAAGGCUGGCCCAGUGCCUCUGAGAAGCGGGUGAAGUCAUGGCCUGUUGCUUUGAUAAGAGGUGCUGUUCUCCUCCUGUUGGCUUCAGGUGACUCAGCAGUAGUAUGUGGCUGACAUUAAAUUAGAGUCACGUUUACGUAACACGUCAUAGUUUCGACGAGCUGUAACCACAGAGCUGAUGGGAGACUGGGGGGGUGUUUUUUACCUCAGAAGGUUCUCUGUUGGGACUGCCCACGCAGCCGAGAAGCAACUGAAGGGACUCUGCUUUCUUUUUGAGCUGCUUAAAACACAAUGGAAUGAGUGCCCAUGUGCAAGCUUUGGUAGCAGAACAGCUUCAGGGGUUGGCCUUCAUGAGAAGAGACCUCCAUCUCCAACAGAGCCAGUGAUCUCUGAAAUACACCUGCUGCAGGAUAAAGGAUUAACAAAAAACCCCACAGCAUUAAGGCAAAACUAAGUAAUAGUGAAACAGAGUUGCUUAAUUCAAACUGAAGGAAUGGCUCAGUUUCACAAAUAAAGAUCGAAAAGAAAUAUCUUCCUGGCAGCACUGCGUAUGGAAGGAAUAAGGAAAGUAACAAGGAGAAAGUUGCGCGCAUUUACAAGUGAGUACUGUGAAAACUAAUAAAGUAGUGCCUAAGCUUUUAUCAUACUUGUAUUGAUAAAACCUGCUUUGAAUGAUUCAGAACUGGGCACUUGCAGAUCAAAAGAAGCAAAGCUCCGAACACUUAGCAGCUGCUUAAAGCUGAGUUUCAGGUCCAGUUGACAGCUGGAAUUAGCAAUGACAAGUGAAGCAUGUCACAUUGGAUUCGCAACAUCAAAUCUAGCCACCCUGCUUGCAACAUAUACCAGCACUAGCUGCACACAAAGAAUAUGG